rnacentral:rRNA from 1 species
GGUUAAGCGACUAAGCGUACACGGUGGAUGCCCUGGCAGUCAGAGGCGAUGAAGGACGUGCUAAUCUGCGAUAAGCGUCGGUAAGGUGAUAUGAACCGUUAUAACCGGCGAUUUCCGAAUGGGGAAACCCAGUGUGAUUCGUCACACUAUCAUUAACUGAAUCCAUAGGUUAAUGAGGCGAACCGGGGGAACUGAAACAUCUAAGUACCCCGAGGAAAAGAAAUCAACCGAGAUUCCCCCAGUAGCGGCGAGCGAACGGGGAGCAGCCCAGAGCCUGAAUCAGUGUGUGUGUUAGUGGAAGCGUCUGGAAAGGCGCGCGAUACAGGGUGACAGCCCCGUACACAAAAAUGCACAUGCUGUGAGCUCGAUGAGUAGGGCGGGACACGUGGUAUCCUGUCUGAAUAUGGGGGGACCAUCCUCCAAGGCUAAAUACUCCUGACUGACCGAUAGUGAACCAGUACCGUGAGGGAAAGGCGAAAAGAACCCCGGCGAGGGGAGUGAAAAAGAACCUGAAACCGUGUACGUACAAGCAGUGGGAGCACGCUUAGGCGUGUGACUGCGUACCUUUUGUAUAAUGGGUCAGCGACUUAUAUUCUGUAGCAAGGUUAACCGAAUAGGGGAGCCGAAGGGAAACCGAGUCUUAACUGGGCGUUAAGUUGCAGGGUAUAGACCCGAAACCCGGUGAUCUAGCCAUGGGCAGG